AUUGAACGCUGGCGGCAGGCCUAACACAUGCAAGUCGAACGAGUGGCGGACGGGUGAGUAAUGUCUGGGAAACUGCCUGAUGGAGGGGGAUAACUACUGGAACCGGUAGCUAAUACCGCAUACCCUAGGCUGUGCCCAGAUGGGUUUAGCGAGUGGGUGGGGUAACGGCUCACCUAGGCGACGAUCCCUAGCUGGUCUGAGAGGAUGAUCAGCCACACUGGAACUGAGACACGGUCCAGACUCCUACGGGAGGCAGCAGUGGGGAAUAUUGAACAAUGGGCGCAAGCCUGAUCCAGCCAUGCCGCGUGUGUGAAGAAGGCUUUCGGAUUGUAAAGUACUUUAAGUGGGGAGGCGUUACCCGCAGAAGAAGCACCGGCUAACUCCGUGCCAGCAGCCGCGGUAAUAC
rnacentral:rRNA from 1 species